rnacentral:lncRNA from 1 species
AUAUAUCAAGUCUUGAAUGAGAACCACUUGUAGAAAAGUUAAAGGCAGAUAAGAGAAUCUCACCUGAAAAUCUUCGUCUUCUUCCUUUCCUCUCCACCAAAACAAACCCCAAUUUCAAUUUCCUGAAAAAAGAAGAUAAAGGAAUAAAAGGGGGAAGUGAAGUUCAAGUCUCCAUGGACAGACUGGUAAAGGCAGACGUGAAGGAAGUGGAGAUAGCAUAUAAGGGAAGUCAAAACUGCAGCACAACUUUCAGAUUAACCAACCUUAUGCACACCAUGUCUGUGGCAAUCUCUUUGUCUACGACAAACCCUUCUGCUUUCUCUUUCGCACAGCCUUUCUCUAUAAUACCACCUUUGUCUUCCUCAUCUUACACAAUUGUCCUCUCUCAGUUAUCCGAACAGCCUCCUCUGUCUACUCCUCCUGAUGCCAUCUCUGUUAAAUCAUCCAUGCUACCUACAGGCAAGGCUCAUCAGGAUGAACUCCGCCGACUGUUUUCAAAACCUGGACCCCAUAUUUUUAGAGACGCCACCAUACCUGUCUACCUCGUGGGUCCCCAAGUUGCUGAAUAUAUCAUCUCCAAUCACACCCAAAUUACUG